ACUUGAAAAUACCUAUGACCUCUUAGGAUGACAUUACUUCCUUUUGCUGUUUUGUAUCUGUUCUUAAGCACCUCUGUGGAUUUCCUUUAGCAGCUGGGAUUGUGGUGCAGUGUGUUAGGCCCCUGCCUCCAAUGUUGAUAUCCCAUGUGCCCACAUGGUCAGAGCCUGGCCAGGCUGAAGCCCAGCUUCUAGAGCUCCACCCAGGAUCCCGGCUGAUUGAGUUGCUGGCUGCCAAGGUGCACAUCAACAGGAAGCUAGAAUUGAGCCUAGAUUGAAAUCCAGGCACUUCCAACAUGUGUUGUUGGCAGCCCAGGUGAAUGGUUUCCAAGUAUUGUAAGAGUUCAAGAAAAAUCUUGUGAGACUCCAAGGAAAGUGAAAUGACUUUUAUUUAACAUCCAGUUGGGCGGCCAGCUGUUGGAAUGAACAGCAAGUGCAUUAAACAAAGUAAGCAUGGGUUGUUUAUAGCAAGUAUCUAUGGGAAAAUCAAGAGCUACAUGAUAUAAAUACAUAAGGGGGGCUAUUUUCUGACAUGGAUCAGUUAAAAAUUAACAGUAUUUAUACUGCAAAAUCCCAGGAUUCCAAUCCUAUCACCUCAAUGUAGAUAGUAAACAGGAUGCCUCGAAGGUAACUGUCCUUCCUGGGAUUUCUAAAAACC